AUCAAAAUGAGACACAAAUGUAGAACGACGACGGACUGAACAAAUGUCAAUUUUAUUUUCUUCCAAAAUAAUUUUAAUUUGCUGCUGUAGGCCAAUCGUAAAAUAAGAAAUUCUCUUAGUUUUGAGUGAUAAACAACGAAAGAUUAAACAUAAUGGAUCAUUUAUCAUUAGCGCAGAAAAUUGAAGAAUUUAGACAAUUACAAUUGCAAAGGUAUCGGAAAAGAAAGGGGAUUGUUGUUACCACCCCCACCCCCGAUGUCGGAUUUAAGAUUCCCGACAGUCUGAAGAUAAUUUCUGUUAAAGUUAUCAUUGGCGUAAAAUUCACAGAGUAUCUCAGCAGUGAAGAUAACAUUAAAAUCGUGCUGGAAAAGACUGAAAGUGGCCAUUAUUCUUUCGACAUUAGAAGACAAGAUCAUAACGAUUCUCUUGCGGCCAUCGAAAUAAAGAAGAAUGUAGUGGGUACUCAAAUAAUUAACGUGUCCCCUCCCAAAAUAUGGCCCUUACCCCCCAACCAAUUAAGUCUUGAGUUUGACAUUUGGUGUUAUAAACUUGGUAUUUGCACAAUCUAUAAAUUCGUUUGCCAUUGUUCUUCAGACGACCGGGGAGCCUUUGAUAGCUUUUAUAAUCAGUUCAAUCAGAUAGUAGAAGGCGCCGAUGAAGAUACAAGUGAUGACGACGGUGAUACCAAUGAUGUAUCUGAAUAAAUUUCAGGGUCUUGCUGCGAUACAUAUGGCAUAGGAAUAAAAUCACUAUUAACUAAAGUAGUGGUUAAUAUAACCUUUAAACAUUUCAAAGUGAUUCAGUAAAAGUCCUGGCAUCUCCCUCCGAUUUCAACAACUACAACACUCUUAUUUCCUGUUCAGUUUGAUCGUCGUCCAGCAGAUUUCGACAAAUGUCCGUCGUCGUCAGAAUAAUGGUCGCAAAGUACUAAGCAAAACAAAAUAUUAACAAGGACAAUUUACGCAUGAGCUUUUCUCUGUCCACUUCAAUACCAAAUCAGUAGUGACUUUUUUUAAGUCGAAGUCGUCCGCAGAUUGUCUAUUGUCGUCGUCCCCACUCGUCUACAAUGCAUGGAUGAUCUUGUACUGCAAACAUGGAAUUUUCCAGUACACAAUUUUUCGACAACUCACCACGUUUAUUGCUUUCAUAUUAUCAAUUUGGUGCAUAUGAUGAGGAUGAACGCCAACGUGUACUCCCGGAUAUCAUCGCCAUCAGUAUAUUUAAUAUGUCACAAGCAAUUGGAAUGUACUGCUUAAAUUUAUCCUACCGUGUUAACAAGGAUGAAUUACGUCCUGUGAAACCUGUCCCGAAGUUCUCGUCUUUUCUCAUUUUUCCAAGAACAAAAACAAACGAGUGCAGCAGUAUUAUUAUAACUUUAUUCUUUAACUUAACGUAUUUAUAAGUAUAUGCAUAAUGCGAACUCGUAUAUAAUAAAUAUCAUUAUUUUUCUACCCACGAAUGGGUUAAACAAACAAAA